GAUGAACGCUGGCGGCGUGCUUAACACAUGCAAGUCGAACGGAAAGGUCCUGCGUUUGUGGGGUGCCCGUGUGGCGCACGGGUGAGAGAAACGCGAGUAUACCCCCCUUGUCUUUGGGAUAACUUUUCGAAACUCGGGCUCUAAUCCGGUAGAAGCUUCUGCUCCCUGGUGGGGGUUAGGAAGGUUCGGCGGUUGGGGAUGGACUCGCGGCUUAUCCGCUUGUUGGGGGGGUAGUGGCUUACCAAGGCUUUGACGGGUAGCCGGCCUGAGAGGGUGACCGGCCACAUUGGGACUGAGAUACGGCCCAGACUCCUACGGGAGGCAGCAGUGGGGAAUAUUGCACAAUGGGCGGAAGCCUGAUGCAGCAACGCCGCGUGCGGGAUGACGGCCUUCGGGUUGUAAACCGCUUUCGCCUGUGACGAAGCGUGAGUGACGGUAAUGGGUAAAGAAGCACCGGCUAACUACGUG
rnacentral:rRNA from 1 species